rnacentral:rRNA from 1 species
UCUUUGCUGUCAGGUGGGAUUACUCGCUGAGUUUAAGGAUAUUAAAAAUGGAGGAAAAGAAACUUACAAGGAUUCCCUUAGUAAUGGCGAGUGAACUGGGAAUAGCCCAGCCUUAGAAUAGGGCAGCUCCUUCGUCCGAAUAGUAGUUUGGAGAAGCGUCCUCACCGGUGGACCAGGCCUAAGUUCCCUGGAAGGGGGUUCCAUAGAGGGUGAGAUCCCUGUUAUGCUCGAACCCUAUUCGAGAAUGCAACCUAAAUCGGGUGGUGAAUUCCGUUCGAGGCUAAAUACGGGUGAGAGACCGAUAGCGAAAAAGUACCAUGAGGGAAAGAUGAAAAGGACUUUAAAAAGAGAGUCAAAGAGUGCUUGAAAUUGAAGGGAUUAAAGUGGAUGGGGAAUGGCAAUGCGCCCCGGUCGGUGGUCCAUCGAUCAACUUAAGCUGUGGACCUACAUGGAUUGGUGGAAGCCAAAGCUUGGGCUCUCGAUACACUCGUGGAACACUGUAUCCUCGAUUGUGGCUGAAAGCGCGCUCCUCCAGUGUGCUUUGGCAUCUGAGUGCUCUUGACGCUGGCCUGUGGGCUCUCCAUUCUUCCCGUCUUGAAACACGAACCAAAGAGUCUGACAUGUGUGCGAUUCAAUAGGUGAGUAAAAUUAUAAGUCACACGGAAGCUGAUUGGUGGGAUCCCCCAGUGGGUUGCACCACCGACCAACCUUGAUCUUCUAAGAAGGGUUCGAGUGUGAGCAUAGCUGUCGGGACUUGAAAGAUGGUGAACUAAGCUUGGGCAGGGCAAAGUAAGAGGAAACUCUAUUAGAGGCCCACAACACUACUGACGUGUAAAUCAUUCGUCUAACUUGGGUAUAAGGGUGAAAGACUAAUCGAACCAUCUAGUAGUUGGUUCCAUCCAAAGUUUCCCUCAGGAUAGCUGGAGCUCGCGUGUGAGUUCUAUCGGGUAAAGCCAAAGAUUAGAGGUCUUGGGGGCACAAUGCCCUCGACCUAUUCUCAAACUUUAAAUAGGUAGGAUGGAGCGGUUGAUUUGUUGAGCUGCGCCACAAAAUCAAGAGCUCCAAGUAGGCAAUUUUUGGUAAGCAGAACUAGUGAUGCGGGAUAAACCAGAAGUAGGAUUACAUUUCCAAAUUGCACUCUAACCUAGAUCUCACAAAGGAUGUUUGUCGAUUAAUACAGAAGGACAGUGGUCAUGAAAGUCAAAAUCUGAUAAGGAGUGUGUAACAACUCACCUGACGAAUCAAAUAGCCCUAAAAAUGGAUGGCGCCUAAGAGGAAGACCUACACCUGGCCGUCGAGGCAAGUGCCAGGGCCAGAUGAGUAGAAGGGUGCGACGGUCGCUGUAAAACCUUUGGUGAGGGUCCGAGCGGAGCAACAAGUGGUGCAGAUCUUGUUGGUAGUUGCAAAUAUUCAAAUGAGAACUUUGAAGUCCGAAGUUGGGAAAGGUUCCAUGUGAACAGAACUGACACAUUUGCUAGUCGAUCCUAAGGUUCGGGGAAACCCUGAUAGAUAGGGCAUUUCGUGCGUUCGGGGAAACCCCAACAGAUAGGACAUUUCGUGCGUACUCUGAGAGAGAAUUGGGUUAAUAUUCCUGAAUUGAGAUAUGACGGUCGAUGGCAACGUUAGAAAAUUUGGAAACAUCGGUAGGAGACUCGGCAAAAGUCAUAUUUUCUAUUUAACAGUCUACCCACCCUGGAAUCAGCAAAGUCAAAGGUAGGGUCCAGCGGCUGGAAGAGCACCGCACAUCGCAUAGUGUCCGGUGUGCUCCCGGUGUCCCUUGAAAAUACGGAGGACCAAAUUUUGUCCACGCCCGGUCGUACUCAUAAUCGCAUAGGGUCUUGAAGGUGAACAACCUCUAGUCAAUGGAACAAUGUAGGCAAGGGAAGUUGGUAAAAUGGAUCCCUAACUGUGGGAUAAGGAUUGGCUCUAAGGGCUGGGCACGGGGGUCCCAGUCCCGAACUCAUCGGCUAUCGAUGGACUGCUCAAGCUGCUACCACAGAGAGAGUGGGUUGCUGCAUUCCAGACGGGGGACGGACUGGGAACGGUUCCUUUGAGGGCCUUCCCCGCGCGUCAAACAGCCAACUUAGGACUGGUACAGAUAAAGGGAAUCUGAAUGUUUAAUUAAAACAAAGCAUUGCGAUGGUCCCAAUGAAUGUUCAUGCAAUAUGAUUUCUGCCUAGUGCUUUGAAUUUCAAAAUGGAAAAAUUCAACCAAGUGCAGGUAAACGGUGGGAGUAACUAUGACUCUCUUAAGGUAGCCAAAUACCUUGUUAUCUAAUUAGUGACACGCAUGAGUGGAUUAACGAGAUUCCCACCGUUCCUGUCUACCAUCCAGCGAAAGCACAGCCAAGGGAACAAGCUUGGUAGAAUCAGCGGGAAAAAAAACCCUAUUGAUCUUGACUCUAGUCUGACUUUUUGAAAUGACUUGAGAGGUGUAGUAUUAGUGAGAGCCAAAAGGUGAAAGUGAAAUACCACAACUUUUAACGUUAUUUUACUUAUUUCGUGAAUUGCAAGUGGGGCACUGUCUCUCUUUUGAACCCAAGGCUCACUCUGCGGGCCGAUCUGGGAGGAAGACAUUGUUAGGUGGGUAGUUAGGAUGGGGAGGCACAUCUGUUAAAAGAUAACGCAGGUGUCCAAAGAUUAGCUUAACGAGAACAAAAAUCUUGUGUGGAAUAGAAGGGUAAAAUCUUAUUUGAUUCUGAUUUCCAGUAUGACUACGAACCUUGAAAGUGUGGCCUAACGAUCCUUUAGACCUUCAAAAUUCGAAGCUAGAUGUGUUUGAAAAGUUACCACAGGAAUAACUAUCUUGUGGCAACCAUACGUUCAUAGUGACAUUGCUUUUUGAUCCUUCGAUGUCGUCUCUUCCAAUCAUGGUGAAGAAGAAUUCACCAAGUUUUAGAUUGUUCACCCACUAAUAGGGAACGUGAGUUGGGUUUAGACCAUCGUGAUACAGGUUAGUUUUACCCUACUGAUGACAAUGUCGCAAUAUUAAUUCAACCUAGUACGAAAGAAACGGUUGAUUCACAUAAUUGGUCAUCGCUGGUUGAAAAGCCAGUGGUGUAGAGCUACUGUAUGCUGGUGUAUGACUGAACGCCUCUAAGUCCGAAUCCGAGCUAGAAGUGAUGCAUGUGCCCACCGUCUACUUGUCAAUCCGCAGUAGGGGCCUCGGCCCCAAGGGCACAUGUCGUUGGCUAAACCAUCACAGCGAAAGGGUUGCAGUGGUCUCCUUGAAGUACAAUUUCCAUCAAGCGGUGGGUAAAAUCCUUUACAUAAAACAACUGUGAAAGCAUUUGCC